rnacentral:tRNA from 1 species
GCCCAUAUGGCGGAAUUGGUAGACGCAGCAGACUUAAAAUCUGCCGACCUUUAAAAGUCGUACUGGUUCGACUCCAGUUGUGGGCA